AGAGUUGAUCAUGGCUCAGGAUGAACGCUAGCUACAGGCUUAACACAUGCAAGUCGAGGGGCAUCAUGUCGGUUGCUUGCAACCGAUGAUGGCGACCGGCGCACGGGUGAGUAACGCGUAUCCAACCUUCCCCUUAGUAGGGCAUAGCCCGUAGAAAUGCGGAUUAACACCCUAUGUUCUUCAUGGAUGGCAUCUGACGUGAAGCAAAGUUUACGCUAAGGGAUGGGGAUGCGUCUGAUUAGGUUGCAGGCGGGGUAACGGCCCACCUGGCCGACGAUCAGUAGGGGUUCUGAGAGGAAGGUCCCCCACAUUGGAACUGAGACACGGUCCAAACUCCUACGGGAGGCAGCAGUGAGGAAUAUUGGUCAAUGGGCGAGAGCCUGAACCAGCCAAGUAGCGUGCAGGACGACGGCCCUAUGGGUUGUAAACUGUCUUUUAUCAGGGGAUAAAGUCGGCUACGCGUAGCCGUUUGUAGGUACCUGAUGAAUAAGGACCGGCUAAUUCCGUGCCAGCCGCCGC
rnacentral:rRNA from 1 species